GUCGANCGGUUAGCACAGAGAGCUUGCUCUCGGGUGACGAGNGGCGGACGGGUGAGUAAUGUCUGGGAAACUGCCUGAUGGAGGGGGAUAACUACUGGAAACGGUAGCUAAUACCGCAUAACGUCGCAAGACCAAAGAGGGGGACCUUCGGGCCUCUUGCCAUCAGAUGUGCCCAGAUGGGAUUAGCUAGUAGGUGGGGUAACGGCUCACCUAGGCGACGAUCCCUAGCUGGUCUGAGAGGAUGACCAGCCACACUGGAACUGAGACACGGUCCAGACUCCUACGGGAGGCAGCAGUGGGGAAUAUUGCACAAUGGGCGCAAGCCUGAUGCAGCCAUGCCGCGUGUAUGAAGAAGGCCUUCGGGUUGUAAAGUACUUUCAGCGGGGAGGAAGGUGUUGUGGUUAAUAACCNCANCAAUUGACGUUACCCGCAGAAGAAGCACCGGCUAACUCCGUGCCAGCAGCCGCGGUAAUACGGAGGGUGCAAGCGUUAAUCGGAAUUACUGGGCGUAAAGCGCACGCAGGCGGUCUGUCAAGUCGGAUGUGAAAUCCCCGGGCUCAACCUGGGAACUGCAUUCGAAACUGGCAGGCUAGAGUCUUG
rnacentral:rRNA from 1 species